AUAUUUACCUGGCAGGGGACACUGUGAUCACAAAAGUGGUUUCUCAAGGGUGAGGCUGUUGGUUGCACUGUGGAUGGGCUGACCUUUGCGAUUUCCUCAAAUGUGGGAAACCCAACUGCAUAAUUGGUGGUAGUGGGAGACUGCAUUAGCGCUUUCCCCUA
ensembl:snRNA U1 U1 spliceosomal RNA